rnacentral:rRNA from 1 species
UACGUAGGGUGCGAGCGUUGUCCGGAAUUAUUGGGCGUAAAGGGCUCGUAGGCGGUCUGUCACGUCGAAAGUGAAAACUCAGGGCUUAACCCUGAGCCUGCUUCCGAUACGGGCAGACUAGAGGUAUGCAGGGGAGAACGGAAUUCCUGGUGUAGCGGUGAAAUGCGCAGAUAUCAGGAGGAACACCGGUGGCGAAGGCGGUUCUCUGGACAGAGUCUGACGCUGAGGCACGAAAGCUAGGGGAGCAAACAGG